rnacentral:misc_RNA from 1 species
UCUGGGUUUAUCCCAGCGGUCCCGUUAGAAAGAUUUAACUAACGGCGAGGGUUGCGCUCGUUGCGGGACUUAACCCAACACCUCACGGCACGAGCUGACGACAGCCAUGCAGCACCUGUGCUAGCUCCCCGAAGGGUCCUUCAUCUUUCGAAUCCGUACCACUAGCAUGUCAAGCCUUGGUAAGGUUCUUCGCGUUGCAUCGAAUUAAACCACACGCUCCGCCGCUUGUGCGGGCCCCCGUCAAUUCCUUUGAGUUUAGCCUUGCGGCCGUACUCCCCAGGCGGGAUGCUUAAAGCGUUAGCUGCGGCACGGAAGGGGUCGACACCCCCCACACCUAGCACCCAUCGUUUACGGCUGGGACUAC